AAGUCAUAUAAUGAACAGAGAGAGAGAGAGAGGUUUGAAUCAGGCUGUUCAAAAAUUUUUAACCUACACGGAACGGGUGAUGAUAAGAAAUUCAUCAUAGGUACGAUAUAAAGAUUUGAUCACAUACGAAUCAAGAUGCAGUCCAUCAGUGAUCAAGUAGAUGAGGCCACAGAACUCUGGACGGAUGAUAAUAACACGUUUGAGACAGUGCGAACGAGAUUACGAGAAGCUACUUUAAUGAAAAGAAAGGAGAAUCGUGUGUCUGCCUGGAAUAAAAAUCGCACAAGCUUAUUAGGAGAAUCAUUUGGGAAUGGGUUCUUUUCGAUCGAUUACAUUAGUGAAAGAGCGAAGCUUCUCAAGAAGAAAAGAAUAUCCUCUGAGGAUUACAGAUAUUUGCCCAACGCUCUUAUUCAGUGUGAGGAAAAUAUAAAUUCCUUCUUAAAAAUAGAUCAAAGUUUACCAGGCUUGAUACGUGAUCUUUCUGGUAACGAUCCAAUUCUUCAAUUAUACGCAGCAAAUUGUUGCUGCAACAUCGCUCUUGGAAAUGCUAAAGCCUGUACAGCAUUAGGAAAAGCAGUUAUCCCAUAUUUGCUUACCGAACUGGAAAGCUUAAACUAUGCAUUGCUGGAUGUAUGUAUUUGGACAAUUGGCAACUUAAUUGCAGGAAGCUACAAGGCUUUUUCCAUUCUACAUGCGCAACACUGUUUGAAACACUUAAUUUUAUUAUUAAACAAUUGUGACGAUAUGAUUCUUCCUUCUGUAAUAUAUGCAACUUUACAUUACGUGCAUGUAGCGUUUCAUGAAAUAUCAGAAGAGGAAAUGUUAGAACUUGUUGAAGCUACUGUAAAACAGAAUCUCCUGUACAAGGAUCCAAAUUUUACUUGGCUGUUAGCUCUGUUGUCCUCUUCAUUCAUCACACAUCCGUAUUUCUCACCUAUCUUGUCACAAAUUGUUGACUAUCUUUAUCACUCUGGGCUAGAUAAUAUCAGCGAGAUUACAGCAUCUAUACGUAUAUUAGCUAACUCUUAUGAAGAUAAGACGGACAUUCUUCUGAGAAAUACAGAAUAUUCACAGGAAGAUCUGUGUGCUUUAUUGAAUAAAUUAUUAUCGCAUCAAUGUAUACAUAUUAGAAAGGAAGCUCUCUGGUUAAUAGGAAAUUUGUACAAUCACCGAUCAUCCGGUAUCAGUCAAUGUAUAAGAGGCAUCAUACCCUUUUUGUCGUCAUUAGAUAAGGCUAUCUUGUCAAUCGCAAAUUGUAUGUAAAGAACAACUCCUUUAUGAAGGUACAUUAUGCCUGCGAAAUUAAAAUCAAAGUACAAAUUUCCUUAAUGGUUCCGAGGAGGAGAUGUGUCGGUUCGUCCGUAUGUCUUCUAUACACUCUACUUUGACAAUAUUGAAGUAU